rnacentral:lncRNA from 12 species
AUGGGCACGUCUGCUUUUGUGAGGACAGUCACAGCCUCUGCGGCGGGGCAUCCUCGCCAGGCUGGUCCCUGGACCACCCGCCGCCUGAGGAGGAGUGCUGAGAAAGAAUCGCCAGGAUUCAAGUGUCCGCUCCAAGUGAGGCCAUUUAGUACGAAUUCCCUAUUUCCUUUCCCCUGCCUUCCCUUUUGGUCCAUCAUGGGAAUGUCUGGAUUUUCCCGUAACUCGUCAGUGGUGCAGGACAUCCCCUGGCAGUCGGUGAGAGCUGCUUCUGAAGACGUUCUGGUGUUUCUCUGACACUACUUCCCAGAGCUUCAGAAAAUAGCACAUGGCCCGAGUGACUCAGGUUCUUCCAGUGAAACUGCUCCAUCUUAAUUUACCCAUUUCACAGCUCAAAAGAAGACAGAGAGAGAGGUUGCAGGCCCACUUCAGGUAGGUCUGGCCUGCACGCCCAGAGAUCUGGAGCCCUGCAAGGGGAACACUUGGAAGAAAAGCAGAAAAGAUGCUGGCUUGACAUGUCCUCCUCUAAAAAUUGUUAUUACAGCUCCUGAAGCCCCAGGAAAGCCCUCAUGGAUGGGAAGCGACAGAAUAGGACUCACUGCCUCUUGGGUGCCUGCACCUGCCACUGACAGGGCAUGGGAUGGAGCACCAGAGCUGUAGCCGCCCACCACCCCUUCCACUCCCAGAGUGACUGGGGCAAGUCCCUGCCCUCUCCAGACCCUUGCUCUGAGAGGUGCACUAGCAGGGAGGGCCUGGAAGUUCCACAUGGGAGUCGCCAGGUUAGUAAUGUGGUGCAGGGUCCCCCCAUCCUCUAUUUAUUAUCAUUUAUUAUAAUAUAUAAUAUAUUUAUUAUUUUUAUAUAAUACAACUUAAUUAUAUUUCAUAUUUCUCUAUUAUAAUGUACAAUAUAAUUUCUUAUACUUUAUAUAAUUUAUUAUUACAAUUUACUUGUUUUUGACCAGGUCAUGAUAGCAAAUACUGACAUGGCAUUUACUCUGUGCUGGACCCUGCUCUAAACCAUUACAUAUACUAAUUCAUUUGAUCCUUACAACUCAAGAGAGAGAUGCUACUAUGACCAUUCCCAUUUACAGAGGAGGAUGUGAGGCACAAAGAGAUUACAGUUAAAAAAAUGAACAGAUGAAGAGAUAAAGCCAGGAGAGAUUAUCUUCUCUGAGUUAGACGGCAAGGGGCAGAGCUGGGUUGGGAAUGUAGACAGCCUCCGCCCAGCCCAGUGCCCUCACCCUGCUCUACUCUCCAGACUCCUCUGGAGGCUACGACUGUCAGUAGACUUAUGUAUCUUUAAAAAAAAUACUGCAGGGUAUUUAUACAUUUAUAUACACACAUGCACAUAUAUCAUAUACAUACAGAACAUAGAUAUAUAUUUUUUCUUUCUUCAAAUAGUAACAUUUAUACUCACCUUUUUUGCACCAAAGACAAGAAUGUGAUCUUUCCAUAUCAGUUUAUUCUUUUAAACAACUGCAGAGCAUAGUUCAUUGUAUCAGCCGUAAUUUAUAACCUACUGCCUACUGACUCACAUUUAGGCUGUUUCCAUUAUUUUACUAUUAUGACAAUGCUGCAAUGAACUUCUUGUAGCUACAUCAUUUUGUGCAAGUGAGGCUGUGGCAAGCAGACUGGCUCUCCCUCAAGAUGUUCAUGCUCUAAUUCCUUGAGCUGGUGAAAAUGCUACGUCCCCUGGUGAAAGGGACUUUGCAGAUGUGAUUAUGAUUAUGAACCCUAAGAAAGAAAGGUUAUCCUAGGCAUACCGUUUAAUCAUAUGAGCCAUUAAAAGCACAGAACUAUUUCCAGCUAGAGGCAGGAGAGAUGAGAGGUUGACAGAAAGAUUUGAAUCUUGAGAAGGAUUCAGUCCACCAUUAUUGGCUUUAAAAACGGAGGGAACCAAGAGCCAGGGAAUCUGGCAGCUCCUAGAAGCCCUGGCCAACAGCCAACAAAGGAAGGGGGACUUCAAUGCUAUGAUUGAGUGGAUUGAAUUCUACCAACAAUCAGAAUGAGCCUGGUAAUGUAUUCUUCCCCAAGACUCUCCAUAAGAGUCAGGCCACCAACUCCUUGGUUUCAGCCUUGUGGGUCCUGGAAGCAAGAAACUAGAUGAGCCUUUUAACUCUCUAAGCUACACAACCAUGAGAUAAUAAACCUGUGUUAUUUUAAGCA